UGGAGGGGGGGCGCCAAUAAAGUACAUUGCCCAGAGUGCACAUUUUGCUCACUACGCCUCUGCUCUGAGGCUUCGUUAUACACUGUGGCCAGACGUUUCAAGGGUCAGUGUGGAGCCCCAGCCGGUCUUAUUUUUAAAGGUGAUACACCUGAAGUAAAACGUGUUCAAUAUUUAGGGCCCCAUGGGAGGUGGAGCUUCUAACAGACUCUGUAAAGUUCUAAGAUUCUAAGUAUUAUUAGUGACGCUUUUAACCAAAAUUGAUCAAACGAUGAUUUUUAUAAAUACCAGACUGACAGAACCAUAACAACUACACAUACACAAUUAAAACAUCGGUAGUUUACGUUAUUUUUCAGGCAUAUAAUUAUUAUUAAUAAUUAUUUGUUUUUAACAGUUAUGAUUCAUGUUUAGCUUUGCAACUACGGGAAGCGUCCAGCAAUUACGUAAAAUAGCCCUUGACCAAUAGAUCGUUAUUAAUUUAUCGUAGAGUACAGCAUGUGAAAAUGAGGUCAGAGUUCUUGACAGAGCAAUUAGUCGUUUCAAAUCUGAACCCUCGACACGGCUCAAAUAUUUGCGUUGUAAGUCUGUCUCUCUCUCUCUUUCUUUGUACAAGGCAAUUACUACCAAAUAAAAAGAAAGAAAGAAAGAAAGAAAGAAAGAUAGAGAGAAAAGAGAGUAUAGGGAAACGGAGAGAGAGAGGAAGAGAGAGAGAGAGAGAGAAAUGCAGCACGUCUGGCCACCAGCUGUCAGUAGUGUGUAUUGACUGCUAGCGUCUAAAUAUAGCACUGCAGAAAAAGGGGGGAAAACUGCGUAACGGUUGCACGAGAAGCACACCAAUCCCUGCAGUGUUUUAGUAAGAUGUAGUGUGUUCAUUAAAAAAAAAAAGGAGAAAAAAAAAACUCUUGACGGACGCACACAUACACAUGAAAAGAAUAGACGGCUUGUUUCCCUUGACUGUGGUGUAAGACUCCAGUUCAUAGCCUAGCGUAUUAUUUCUUUAAAUAUGGAGUAUAUAAAUCUAAAAGAUAGUAUAUUAUUAUGAAUUAUAACAACUUUUCAUUACUAUUGACAGAAAUGUGGUUAAUUUUUAUAUUAUUAUUAUAAUGUGACGCGUAUUUUUAGUUUGGUUUUAGAAUAGAUAAAAAAAAAAAUCUGGCUAGUUUUGUCGUCGUCUGUUGCGUAGAUAAAUAAAAAAGUUUAAAUGAAAAUGGUAGUGGAACAAAUCGUUUGUUCCUCCUUGUGAACGGGAUACUGAUAAAUAAAGUAAAAUAAUAAUACUAAUAAUGGCACAUUGAUAUGUACAUAGAUCUAAAAAAAAAAAAAAGCAGUCUAUAUUUAAACAAUCCUAGAUCCAUAUUUGAAAAUUGAAGUUUAAGGAAUAAAAUCCAAUACAUUUUGAAGUGGUGUUUUGGUAUUUCACGUGCAACGUGUGCUUGGUUUUAAAAACAUGGAUUAUAUUCCUGGAUAUAUAGACCAGAUACAAAUCCAUUUAGUCUACGUAUAAAUAAGCAGUUCUUUUCACUUUUUGUGUUUGGUACAUUUUGAAUAUUCGUCGCUCAACGUAAGCAUUGAUUAUGCAGACUGAGUGAUGCAUUAUGUCUAUGUGGUUUAAAACUCCUAGCCAGAUUUUUUAGUGUAAAGACCAGAAACUGGGAAUAAUCACUGAACAAGGAAGGAGAUAUAGCAAAAUAUGAAAAAAAAAAAAGGAGGACACCUACAAGGACAUUAGGACUGAACACUGACAUCAAGCGGGACAACUAGCAAUGGUUAUAUUACAUGUGAGAAUCACCAUGACAACAGACUUAAAGCAGACGUCUAGUUGGAACACGAGGAUAUUCAUUUUGACCAGGAAAAAAAAAAGUCUUAACUAUCAGGCUCCAAAUGUUUGUCCGUAGCAGUAACAGGUGAUAUAGAAAUGGAGCUUCAUGCAUAGACGUAUCCUACAGUAAAAUGUCCUACAUAUGUCCUGCAUUAAAAUAUCCUAUUUUGAAGUGUUCUUCAUUGAAAUGCCCUACACAAGUGUCCAAUAUUGAAGUGUCCUGCAUUGAAAUGUCCUACACUGAAGUGUCCUAUAUUACAUAUUCCCAGUUGGAAUGUCCUACAUUGAAGCGUCAUACGCCUUCACGACUAUAUUAAAUGACGAAGGUACAGGUGACUGCAGCAGUGAGAAAUCUAAAAUCGAAAAGUUAUACAAAAAAAAAACCCAACAAAACAAAGCCACCGGAAGUGAUCAAAGGGAAGGCACACAUCUCCAAGCAACAAGACGUUGAGGUAUCCCCUAGAUAAGUCUUUGAGAAAUAAAGGUGCAUACUAUGGUUGAAUACCAACCAAAGCAGACGAUGCAUUAAAAAGGAUAAUCACACUAAACAAUGAAACAAACUGUGACAGUAGAGCUAGUGGCCACAUUACAGAAACACAAUUGCAGUCUCGCUGGCUUUAUGCUGUAUUCUCAUUGGCAUGGAGAUCCACACUCCGCAUUUUUUAGUUGAUUCUUCGUCUUCGUAUUUCUGGAUCCUAACGGAGGAUGAACUCUUUAACUCAAAAAGUUUAUUUAAAAAAAAAAAAAAGAAAAGAAACAGACAACCCAAGACAGAAAGAACCACCUGACGGUGUAAAGCCUGGCUGUCAGACACGUGGUGACGGCUAUCUCAGGUUUACUAGAUGUAUUUCAUGACAGAACAGAUUGCUUGAAGAACAUAGAGGCACUUUACAGCUUACGCCAGACAUAUCACUUGACCAUAGCAAACUUGCCUCUGGGCUCACAUCAGAUUAGCACUGGGAACAUAAGGGAGAUAAUAAAUGUUUUCUUUCUCAUGGAGAGGCCUCAAGCAAUGGAUACAUGAGAAACAAGGGAGACUAACAAAUGUCUGCACACCUACACUGGACAGAAACAACUAAAGCAAUCCUAUUGGAUUAUCGAUUGGACUAAAUUGUGGACCCUUCAGUCAAAGUGAUAAGGUCAUUGCUGUGUUUUUUUUCUUUCUUUUUCUUUACAUUGUAGCGGGGCUAAUGUUCAAUGAUUGGGUGCAGUUUGUGCUUAAAUAAUCAAAUGUCAUUGGUUUGUGUAGACACGCUCAACUGGUCAUCAGUACAAAGCUACGGCGUGCUGUACUAAACACUUUAAUAGCAAAAAAAAACACAAAAAAACACAGAUACCAUCCAUUAUAUAUCUAUAUUAAAUAAGCUAUUAGAUCUAGUCUACGACCACGUUUCAAGAGAAAAAAAAAAAGGAAUUAUCUACUAGAUAUCCCCACACAAGUCAUUUUUUCAGUUCUGUUUUGAUUGGGUUUUUAUAAUCACUUUUUUUUUAUCACAAGUGAAAUGAGCUUCUUCCCAAUGAGAACAGACUAGGGAUGAAACACUUUCGGCUCUUACAACAAUGAGGCCUUAAGAAGUUUUCUUCAUCUGACCAAGAAACGGGGGGAAAAAGUGGGAAAAUGGCACUUUCUAAAUAUGGGAAAUUUGUGCAUGUCAGAACGCGCGGUGGGUGAAUAUUAAGCGCUUGGCUUUCGCACUUUAAGGGGGGGGGGGAGUGUCCUUUACAUCAUCUGCCCUAUAGACCGCAUGGUCUAAAAGAGAACUUUAUUUUUUUACUUUUCAAUGCAUGUCCGUGAAAAGGUUUUAAGUAAAAAAAAGGUAUUGAAUGGUGAAUGUAAAUAUCAAGUAUGGCCCAAGCCAGUCCAAGCAUGGACGUGGUCAAUGUAUUCCUGUGUUCUUGAUCAUAAGAAGAACAGUUAAGACAUUCACCCUUUUCCAUUCCAUACAAACAUAUUUUUGUUUCCCUUCAAUCGUUUCGGGACGGCUGCCAAUGAAGUCCUACUGACACCUUACGAAAUCUGCAGCAUGAAAGUGUCGCAGAGGAGAACUGGUUGGAAACGAAACACGUUCUCUCUAUCAAAUACCACUUAUUAGCAAUCACAUUAACAAUUGAAAUGGUGACAAACAAUUUCUUUUCAUGAACAAAACAGGCGACAAUAACACCACAUUUAUUCCAUUCCUCUUUUGUCAGCUGGCGGAUGGGUUUGAGUCCACACCAAAACAUGAAAACUAAAAAAAAAAAAAAGUUACAGGGGAAGCAGAGACAGCACCACAAGAUCCUCACACUGUACGUGUUGGUUGUCAACCCAAUGACUUAUGGGCAAAUGUAGACAUACACUAGACAUGAACCAAGUGUAAAGAAAAUACACAGCUAGUGACUACAUGUAAAAACGAGAAAGAGCUACAAUACAGGAAGGGAAAUAAUACCACCAUACGUUUAGAACGACACAGAUUCAGGAAGUGUUCUAAGGAAUGUCUGUAAAAAUGUACUAGGAUAGAAAACGAAAAUUGUUUUCAGCCCUGACUCCGAUGCUUACGCCACGAGAACCACUGGAGAGCAGAGCCAGUUUUGUCGAGCCAGACAGACUUGGACUGGAACUAAUGGGAUUUCCCUAAUGAGAAGAAACAGUUCUUAUCGCGUACAACUUGUUUUGCUGGCUAAGCAGAAGAGAAAAUGUUGCGCCUGUGAUACGUUUGACACAGUGUCCAAGAAUGAAACGUGAACUUAGUCAAGCCACUCACAGAUGCACCGCUUGAUAACUUGACUUUACUUGGGGAAGGGGGGGGCGUGAACUGGCAGCAGCAGGCAACGCGCGCCGCUCACGAUCCGCGGGCACAACUGAAGGGGUAAUGAGUUAUUAUCUGUCCUGGCAGGGGCGCGACUCGGUGUCACAAGCGUGUGUCUCCGCCUGUGUUAUCACGGUGCCAUGUUAUCAGCGCUAACUGGAAAUUGGCAGCGACGAUAGCACCGGAGGGGGGGGGGAUGAUGACGCAAGCAUCAUUUCUGAAUACAUAAAUACUCACAUACAAAAAAACAAAAAAAAAAAACAUAGCCGUGCCUGCUCUAACCCGUAGAACCGAACUUGUGCGCCUAUGGCGUCCCUUUCACAAGUUUGCAUCUAUGGGUAUGGGCCGACACGGAAAAAAAGGUUUACAUUAUUUGUUUUUGGCAGAACCAGCAUCGCUGGAGGACAGCAUUGCAGGGAAUUAACAGCUACAUCAGAUUUAUAAGAGUUUGGGAUUUUAACUUUCAUCCAGCCUUUAAAUCAAUACAAAUAUGUACUUAAAUGACUAACGGUGGCUAUUUUGUGACGAAACCACAGCACAAAACACACACAAAUAAUAUUUAUCUAAUUCAUUAGGCCAAAUUAGACACUACUUGAAAGCCGUGACUGGCCAAAGCGUAUGAAAGUGUCAGGGCCACUGGCGAAAGUCUUGACCGGUGGGAGCCUACGAUGAGAAUAUCCCGAAGUGAGGUAGUAGGUUGUAUUGUUAAGAACUACACCAUUACUGAAGAACAGUACAAUCUGCUAGCUUUCCCCGUGGUAUGAACUCGCUGCAACUCUUGGCUCGCAAGGACUAGAUCAAACUCUGUCGCCGGUAGCAUUCUGGCUAGGUGAUGCCAACUAUGACACUGGUGUCAGAAGUUUAUCUAGUCUUUUUUUUUUGUGUGUGUAACUUCCAAUUAGAAUAAGCCCAUCGUUUUGAAUGACAUAUUGAUCAAUACUUUGUUACAAGUAUGUAAGGACAUUGAUUUAAAGUAAGAAAGUAUUUCUGACUGUAUGUGUCAAAGUUAAUUCAGACUUUUGAUUGGUUAUCUUAUCCAAAUGAAUAUUUAAAAUACAUUUCUGUGGGUCAGGGCAAUUUUGAGUGGACAUUUGUAAAGAAAUGGACUGGUGAUCGAAUCACAAUUCUAAUCAGUAUUUCUAAUAGCAAGUAUACAUUAAUUGGUCGCCAUAACCUGAGACAAAUUAGUCUGCUAUAACCUAAGACAAAUUAGUCUGCUACAACUUAAGACGUCUGCUAUGACCUUAAACAAAAUUAUUUAUUUGAGAUUGAAAAUAAAAUAUUCGUUUUAUUUCUUUCCCUUUUCUUGAGGCUUAAUCUGUGUUACAAAUCAAUUUUUUUUUAAUUAUCUGUCUACUUUGCACACACCCAAGUGUUCAGUUUGUAAAAAAAAAAAAAAAUUGAGAAAGAAAUGAAACAAGCUGUAUAGAUUAAACAUUAUUAUUUAUUUUUUUUAUGUUGAUUUAAGAAGAAAUGACCUUGUAAGCAAAAAAAAAAAAAAUUCUUGUAUAAGGCCUAACAAUCUAAAACAAUCAGUGCUGCCCAAGCUUUGCAAGUCUGACGGGCCUAGCAACUGAAUGUGUCGCGAGUCAGAUCAUUGAGAUAAACAAUCAGUCUUCUGCAGCUUAAUUCUGCAGUGUGGUCCCAAGUUUCGAGGGCCGGACAGCACCGCACCACGAGUUAAAUAUGGUCAUUAGGCCUUCUGCUUUAUACGUUGUUUGGUCAUUACUAUUAAACCGUAAUCAGAAUAAUUUCUAAGCUAAAUAAUCCAUAGCAUAAAUCUGUUAUCAGCUAUAAACUCAUCCGUAUUUGUUGUUUUAUAUAUCUCCAUGUUGGGAAAAAGUAGCACUGGAUAGAACUUCAUGGAGAGAGAGCAUAAAGGAAGGGUCUCGGAUUGCAGAUACCAUACACAACAGCAGCUGCAACGGUGCCUGGAUCGCAUAUGCCCAACCUGUGAUCGCAGCUGUGUAUCAAGGUUUGGCCUCUUUAGUCACACAAGAGGUUGCAAAGGGAAAAGAUCGUCUCUCGAGACGUAAAAUGCCACAGAUGUGGGGUAGUGUGUAACUUUGGGCUUCAGAAAAGGUAGAAACUAUCUGGAAAUAGUAUAUUACAACUACACUAUAACAACAACUCACUAACAGGAGAAGGGACAAGGGCGAGUAACUGGCGCCUUAACCAGUAAGCUUCGGGCAGGAGGGGCUCGUUAGCCAUGGCUGGCUACUCACCUAAGAGAAGGAAAACUCUUAAUUCAAAACUCUGUUGCCUUACAGCUAUACCCAAUCAUGGGAAAGGCUUCGGGAGUCAACCCUGAGAAAAAAUCAGGAGCUGGCGACCCUUAGGCAGUUUGCAGCACCCAGUGCUACACUCUGGCAGAACCUGCGACGUCGCUGACUCCAAACUGUAUCGGCACUGCAGUUCCUUUGGAUACAUCAGCUGCGUGGAAGGGGGGGGGGAACUGAUGUGUGGGCGACAUCGUUCCGACCAUAACUUAUGCCCAGGCAUUCAUCUCAUUUCCAUGGGAUGAUCCAUGGUCGCUUCGCGACUGAAGGAGGCCAGUCUAUUGCAGAGACAGUACACCAUAUAUCUACCUUAACAGCCUUACUAGCAACACCCCGCAAGCGUUAUUCCAGCAAGGACAGUAUCGUAUUAUGUAGGCCAGGUGAUGAGUAGAAAAAGAGGCCAGGGUGUCACGUGACACUAAGUGGUUUGGUGUAAUUAGUAGACAAAUGAUUACAUUCCCCCAACAGGUCUAGGACUUUCUCCUUCCCACUCAUUUCUUUCUUUCACUCUUUCUAUCCCAAAACAUUUUUUUUUUGGCGUGCUCAAGUUUCUUGGGGAAAGAAUAGUUUCUAAAGUAUACAGUCUAGAGGAGCAAUGUAAAGUUUUGUUUUGUUUUCUGAUUACCAACACACUAUCUUGUCUCUCU